rfam:Felis catus isolate Cinnamon breed Abyssinian chromosome A1, whole genome shotgun sequence.
GCCUGGGUGGCUCAGUUGGUUGAGCGUCCGACUUCGGCUCAGGUCAUGAUCUCACGGUUUGUGAGUUCGAGCCCCACGUCGGGCU